rnacentral:lncRNA from 1 species
UAUUUAUAGGUCUUACUUUGCUGUACAUUAUUGCUGUUUAUAGUUAAUCAAUUGUAACGAAAUGGGGGUCCCUUGAAAUGGAACUUGUUUUCCCUAAAAUUGUGUGAUGCUGUUGUUUAAACCUUACCGUUAAUUGACUGAUCUUAUAAUAUUUCUUGCAUAACUAUGUUUGUUAACUUUUUAUUAUUCUCAUCUCGGAACACCUGUGAAUUGUUUACUUCAAAUGACAUACAAUACAAUGACGUCAUAACCUAUUUUUGUAAUGACGUCACUCUGGAUUUGGUAAUUUAAGUAAAUGGUAAGCCAAAAUGGUAGAUUGGUUUACCUAAGUAUAAAUACGACGGAGAAAACGGAUAAGACUUCAGUACGACUUUACCCUCAGCAAGUAACACACCCUAAUUCCAAGCAAUUUUAGAGCGCAUUUGUUUCUAACCUAAACGAUGUAAACGACUACGCGCGUAGUCGUUUAAUCCAUUUGUUUCUUACAUUUUUUGGUCAACGUUGACAUCGUUUACAUAAACGCGCAAAAUAGUCGCGUAGUCGUUGAUCGUUUAUCGUUGAGACGUGUAAACGAUAAAUUUGUUUCUGCAUCUGUCGUUUAAAUAAUUACGAGCACGUGUUGUUUUCGCAAAGUCCUGGUUAUUUAUUUCCCGCACUUUUAGGCAGCAACCAUUUGAUUUUCUGGGGGGGGCUAUGGUUUUUUUUGGAAAAAAAAGUUUGUUUCCAGUUUUUGGAGAAAAAAAUAAUUUGUUUUUGAUUCUGAGAAAAAAAAAUUGUUUGUUUCACCCUCAGCUGCCACUAUAUGUAAUGCUAAAAUUGAAAGAAAAAAAUUGUUUUCGACUUGUCGCGAAAAAAAUAGAUUGUUUGUCCAGAAAAAAAAACCAUAGCCCCC